CCCUUAGAUGUUCUGGGCCGCACGCGUGCUACACUGAGUGGAUCAGCGGGCCAGGUUGCGCGAAAGCGUUUCCUAAUCUUUAAAUCCGCUCGUGAUGGGGAUUGACGGUUGCAAUUUUCUGUCAUGAACGAGGAAUACCUUGUAAGCGCGGGUCAUCAUCCCGCGCUGAAUACGUCCCUGCCCUUUGUACACACCGCCCGUCGCUCCUACCGAUUGAGUGGUCCGGUGAGGCUUUGGGAUCUGAGCGGAAAGAGCGUUUCGCUGUUUCUGCUCGGAAAACUCAGUCGAACCUUAUCAUUUAGAGGAAGGAGAAGCCGUAACA
rnacentral:rRNA from 1 species